CGAAACAAACAAAACAAAAGGAAAACAAAUGGUCAGAAGUUCUCAAAGUGAGAACAUUGUUAGUAUCGCCAAUACACCAAGAAAUUACCAACUUCGAUCAUUGCUACUAUGGAGUACUAUUUUCUCUAAAAAAACAAAAAUCUCCAGAUCUAUAAUUUUGCCGAAUUCCAGAAGAUAAUUUCGACUCCUACUUAGAUCAUCGGUACUACGGAGUACCAUUUCCUUCUUGAUUAUCGUAAUCAAGAGAAGAAACAACCGCCCAAAUCUGAAUGAUCUAUAAUUGGACGAUUAACAAACAAGAGGUCUUUCAUCAAAUUUGUAUACUCAUAACUGAUAAUGAUGAUUGUUGUUGUUUCAGCAACAAAAUAGCAUGGUGUCUGUAGAUUUCGAUUUUUGGAUAUAUGGAGAUUCGGAAGUUUGAUUCACUAUGUUGGAACAAAAAUGAUAAGUGUCUUGGCCGCAACGCUUUUUUCUUUUAACAGUAAUCAAAUUACCUAUUUUUCUUUUAAAUUGAUGCUCUUUUGUUUCCUCUCAUGCCAACAUUGGUUAAUGUUUACAGAGAGAUAUAAAUGGACUUUCUGGUCAAAAUAGUGAGUAGAAGCUGCGUCUGCAAACAAUGGAACAUCAAACUUACAAGAUGGCCUCAGUGGAGCGUAAUGCAUGGGUGAUAUUGAUGCAGCAUCUGCAUUGUCAAUGUGUUGGACGGACUUGCAAGGCUAGAAGAGGUAUUUUGCUUCAAAUAUCAGCAACUGGUCAAGGUAUAGUUUACUGCUCGUAUAGGAUAUCUAUCUUAAUUAUAAAUUAAGCAGCAGAUGAUUUACACUUAAGCAUAGGUUGAGCACAUCGGAAAGCUUUGCAUCAAAAGCUUGUGUUAAUGCAAUAUAAAAUUGACACGUUGAGAAGUAGGCAUAUGAAUUUUGCUCUGAUAUUUUGUGUUGUCGUUUCUUGACAAUUACAUUGCAGCUCUCAAUUUAUAAUGUUUAUAUAUAUUUUAACAUGUAAGUGCCUUGUUAGGGGGGUGUUUAGCAGUACUAAUAAAUAAAUUAGGGGGCUGAUAACUAUACUGAAACAGUCCUAACCUGUUAUUUAAAAGAGAUAGGGAUAGGAAUGAAAAACACAAAAUUAAGCUUAAAUAAUCAAACACAAGUAGUUCCCCACAUCAAAUUAAUGCAUAAUUACAGAAAUAAGAGAAAAAUUGCUUCAGAUCAGUCACACUUAAGCUCAAAAAGGGGGGAAAUUGAAGUAAAAAAAAGGAAUUAAAAGUGAAAAUAAGAUAUACCCAGUUGAAUUUGAUAAGAAUCAAGAGCUAAGCUGUAAGUUGAUCUGAGAAAUAUGAAGGAAAUUUGAUGAAGAAAUUAGUGGGUUUUGAUUUUGGUUUUGGGGGUGGAGUUGAGUUAAUAGCAAAAACUAGAGAAGGUAAGAAAGAAAGCGAGUGAGUGAGCAAAACUUUUAUUGGCUUUAAAUUAUGGGCUUACUAAAUUGAUGAUUGGUUUUCCUUAUCUGAUUUAUGGUUGUACAGUGUUGUGGGAUGUUUCAAUAUUACCAUUUGAUAUAUACUGAUGGACUAUUGAUAUAUACGGUAUAAAACAUACUUAUAUAUGUCAAGUGUUUAGUAUUGCACAAAUCUUUGAGGAAAUGGCCUGAUUGCUCUAAUUAUUGGGCUAAAAUCUUAUGUUGGCUUCGUCUUUAACUGAUCUUGUUUAUAGGGAAGGACAAAAUUCAAACACGUCAUGUCAAGCCUUACAUGUUAAGUAUAGUUAUGGGGCUGAUAACUAUACUGAAACAGUCCUAACCUGUUAUUACAUACGCCUCCUUUAGUUAGUGGCGUGUCACACAGAAGUGUUUCUUUAAUUAGCAAACAAUGGUGUGAUUCUUUUUUUAUUUAGUCACAAGCAAUUUACUUUCAGCAUAUUAUUACAUCACUUGUUAUUUUCAACUUAUUAUUUGCACAAAUUUUAUAAACAAAUCAAAUGCCGUAUAUGCAAGAUAUGAUAAUUUAGAAACCAAAUAGGAGUGAUAUUACCAUUUGAAAUGUCUAGCAGGGGUUUCCUUUGACCAACGCUUCUUACAUUUUCUGAAGGCACGCGAGUUCCUUGUGUUUUCUCCAUAGUACCUGAUAUUUUUAUUGUUCUUGUUUAAUUAUUUGGUAAAUCGUGUUAUAAAAGAGUUAUUUCAUUCAAGUACAAGCUGGAAAGGACAUAUUACCUUGAUGUUCUGUUUC